rnacentral:rRNA from 1 species
GACGAACGCUGGCGGCGUGCUUAACACAUGCAAGUCGAACGGUGAAGGGGAGCUUGCUCCCUGGAUCAGUGGCGAACGGGUGAGUAACACGUGGGCAACCUGCCCCUGACAUUGGGAUAACUCCUCGAAAGAGGGGCUAAUACCGGAUACGACCACUGGUGGCAUCACCUGGUGGUGGAAAGCUCCGGCGGUCAGGGAUGGGCCCGCGGCCUAUCAGCUUGUUGGCGGGGUAACGGCCCACCAAGGCGAC